rnacentral:lncRNA from 1 species
AAAAAAAGUAAAAAAUAAAAGAAAAGAACAAAAGAAGUUUGAAUUGAAAACAAAAAACUGCUCCAUGCUACCACCGAAUCUAUCUAUAUAAUAAAAUCAUGAAUGUAAAAGUGAGUGGAAACAUACUUGAAUAAUUGAAAUUUAAAAAGUAACUAUAAUUUUAAAUUAUGGCGGAAAAAAAUAGCCGUUAAACUGUUCUUUUAUAUAAUAUAUAGAUAUAUAGAAAUAUAGAAUAUAGAUAGUGUGAUCACACCAAUUGAGCAUUUUAAAUAUAUUAUUAAUCUCCGAAAAUGAAAACGAACAUAUUCUAAUGGGACAUCUCAAAAAAAAAAAUAAAAAAAAACGAGCCUAUUCUAAUGGAACAGAUGGAGUAAUUGACUUUUUUCUUAAAAUAAAAAGGCGAAUUUAUAAUAAUUGAUACUACCUCCGUCCACGAAAUGAGUACCCAUUUGUGGACGGCACAGGGUUUUAAGAAAUGUAUGGAGUGUAGUGUGAAUCGUUUAAGGGUCCCACUUUUUGAGUGUAUUAAUGAAAGAGAUGUGCGGGAUACACUUACCAAAAAGAAAAAUGGGUACUCAUUUCGUGGACAAACAAAAAAGAAAAUAUGGAUACUCAUUUUGUGGACGGAGGGAGUACAUCGCAUACUUUUGUAAAGUUUGUGUUAUACGUGGGUCGGGUUCAGAGCAUGUACGGGGGUAUAGAUUCCCUCUCGAACCCACCCCAAUAAAAUAUAUUAAAUUUUAUUAAUUUAAUUAUUUUUUUAUGUUCAAGAACAUAUUAAGGGCCAUUGUUAUUAAAUUUAACGUAGAUUAUUGGGUGCGACCGUCGACCCGGCUCCAAACCCGCCCUCCUGACCCGGAACCCUGACCCGCAUGGAUUUGACCCAUGCUCCUAAUUAUUACAUUUGUUUAUAAUAAUUGUUACUUUUAAUAAACACAAUAUAUACAUUUGUUCAUAUAAAUGUAUAUUUAUGUGAAUAUAAGUAGUUAACUUCAAUAUUGUGAAAAUUGUAAUAUUUAAAAACAUUAUCUUUCUUUAUAAUAAUAAUAAUAACUUUUUAUUAUAAUAAUAAAUAAAUUUUAUUACAACAAUAAUUACAAUUAAUAUAAUAAUUUUGAAACAUUACAUUUCUUCAUAUCAAAUAUUACUUUUUAUUAUAACAAUGAUUAUUUUUAAUAAGCAUAAAUAAUUACAUAAUUUUUGCUACAAUUAAAAAUGUUUGUCAAAAAACCAAAUUUUUGGAAAAAAAUGUAAGGUAUUUUUGAUGCAAUUAACCCUAUUUAUAUUAAUAUAAGUAUACAUUUGUGCGACCAAAUGUAUAUAUUAUGCUUAUUAAAAGUAAAUACUUCUAUUAGGGUUUAAUUAGUGUUCAGAUUUAGGGUUUAGUUUACAGGGUUUAGGGUUUAGUUUAUAAAAUUUAGGGUUUAGAAAAUAUAAUACUUUAUAUUAAAUGAAGGUAAAUACUUAUAUUUAUAUAAGUAUACAUUUGUGCGAACAAAUGUAUAUUUCAUACUUAUUAAAAGUAAUAAUUAUUAUAUACAAAUAUAAUAAUUUAGGAUUUCGGAUUCGGGGAACGGGUCGGGGUGGACCCGUCGCACUCCGCCGCAUGCAAGACCGGCUGAUAUAUUUUUUAGGGUCGAAAUUUAAUCUACCCACUAUUAUAAGAGUGGGUAGAUUCCCCUAUUCACAGUAUUUUUUAAUAGACUUAAAAUGGCGUGCAUGAUUGCAAACCACCCCAAUUAAAGUCCAACGAAAUUAUUGACAUAUAAGUAUGAACUCAAUUUUGUUGCGUCAUUCUUGACUAAUAUUGCUCUACGCUAUUAGAUUGCCACGCAUGGCACUUAUGUAGUUGAAAUGCAAACCUAAAAGUGUGAAUUUGGUCCUAUACAAUUUCAAUAGCAAUUAGAAGGAACGAAAAGAAAAGAAAUACUAUCAAAUAACUGGACAAAUUCGAAUACUACAUUCCAAACUAAUAAUACCCAAACACAUAGUGCCAAGACGAGACAAUUUUAGAACACGAGGCUUGAACUUCGAUAUCAUAUUUUCAAAUUUACAUUUUCAUGCACUUCACUUCAUAUAAUUAUAUCGACAAAUUUAAAUUGAUUUACUAUAGAAUUACCAAACCCAACACAAACUGAAGUUAACGGUCCGUGAAGAUUAAUUUCAAUUGUCGGAAACACCAGACAAAAUGCAUCAGAUCUGUGUCCAUGGCCAAACCAGAGACAAAUUAAAAAGUUCAAAAACGUACAAAAAAAAAACACCAUUCCAAAUUCCAUGAUGCUUACAUAUCAAAUCUUCUACCAAAAAAAGAUCCAGAAAAAGAAAACCAAAAAGGUGGGCCGGGAAAAGAAGAAUAGCAUAUAUAUAUAUCUCUAAUUAUAUACAGUAGAUGGCAAAAAUUGAUCAAUCCUAAUUAAUCCUGCUUAAGCAUAGGCUUUGUGUCAUCAUCACUGGAGACAGAAUUCCUCUUGAUGAAUUCCAAACAGUCGGCAAUCGCCUCGGAGCAAAAGGAAUUGGAGUGAUUCAUCGUUCUGAGCGAUGUGGAGGAAAAGCUGACUGCGGCCGACGCCGCCUUGGUUCUUCUUCUUCUUCUUCUCCUGAUGAGAUUCCUCCGCAGCAAUCUGAGACACUUAUUGUAAGAAUUCCUCCACCUCUUAAAAACUUGGAAGAUAUACAAGAAAUUGGUGCGCAGGCGCUGGACGGAGAAUCUUCUCGAGUUGAGACGAAGCCCCUUUAUUCCGCAGCAUCUCUUGCUGCUAAUUUUGUCGUAGUUUGCCCUACUGUUGUGAUCGCUCAUGUUGUUUUCGGACAGAUGAUUGCAACUGUGUCAGCAAAGGGAGCUUCUGCUGCACAUGUAUAUAAAGAGAGAGAGAGAGAGAGAGAGAGAGAGAGGCAAUGAUUUCUUUGCGAGGUGAGGUGGUGUUGGGGGAUGGAAAGUCCGUGGAAAACGAUGUGUAUUUGAGACAUUGUCUGGUCGUACGCGGAAGUGGAAUUUAAAAAUAAAAUAAAAAGAGAGCGUGGAAUUUUCGGGCAAAUAUUUUAAUAUUUUGUGACUUAUAAUGGGUAAAAUUAGCGGAAUUGGUGGGGGGACAACGAGACAUGGAUAUUGAAAAAUAUUGGGUGCUUGCUAAUCAAAAUGACUGGAGUUGUUGUAAUGUUAGAUGGGAAAUAUAAGUCUACAACAUGAAGCAUAGGUUUCGGAUAUUAUAGGUGUCACGAAUCACAAGGUGACCUAAUUGUUGAUUUCUUUUACUACUAUUGUUAUGUUUUUUAUUUGAGAUUUUUUAUUAGUACCAUGUAUUUCAUUUAUUUAUAAAAUAACUAUCGUAUUAAUACAUAUGGGUGAGCAAAAUAUUCGAAAUUUGAAUAUUUAAUUUGAAUUAAAUUGAAAUUUAAAAUUUAGUUCUAAUUUUCUGAUUGAAUCAGAUUUAAUUUUAAACAAUUUUUGGAUAAAAUUGGAUUAACACUUUUAAAAUUCGAAAAAAAUCCGAAAUCCGAAUUAUAGUUAUAAUAUAAAUAAUAUUAUGAUACUAUUAUAUAUAAAAAUAUAAUUAUUAAUUUUUAAAUAGUUAAAUAUUUUUAAUUCUAACCCGUUCUUUCAUCUUGGUUGAUUGUAAUUAAUGGCUUGUUAAUUAGGACCUUAAUUCGAUUGUAAUUAUCUCAUUGGUUAAGUUGAUAUGUAUUUCAAAUUUUUUGAAUUCUUUUUUUUACAUUUCAGAUUUUUUUUUCACAUUUCAGAUUUUUUGGAUCAGAACGAAUUUUAUCCGAAUUUUUUCGAAUUUUCGGAUAAUAUGAUUUAGAUCUGAUUAAAUUUUAGAAAAAAUUUUCGGAUCGGAUCAUAUUAGGCAAAAAUUCAAUCCAAAAUCCGAAUGUCCUCCCCCAAUAACAUCGACACGAUGACUUAAGACACAUUUUGCCGAAUUUAUUGGAAGUAUGGAAAGUUCUCAUCUGAAUGGUAUACGACUAAUAGAAUAAAUGAAAUAUACUCCAUCCCCCUAUAAGUGAGACCCUUUUUUUCUUAGCACGAGAAUUAAGAAAGAUGUAUUUUAUAUGUAAGUGAAAAAGUGAAAAGGUAUUUAAAGGUAAAACUUUUACCAAAAAAUGAAAGAGUAUCACUUAUGAUGGGACACUCAAAAUAGAAAGAGUCUCAUAUUUUGUUACCUUUCUAAUAUUGUUAUAAGAGACUGGAAAAUUAAAAUUUAGACCCAAUUUUUUUUAUAAAAUAACAGUCGUUAAAUACUUUAAUAAAAUUUAAUUUUGUUAAAAAAUAACGAUCAACAUUUCGAUCGUUAUAUUAACCAAAAAUAGCAAUAAAAAGUGUGAUUUAGUUUAACAAAAAUACUAUUAAACGACCGUCGGUUCGUUAAAAAAUAACGAUCAACAUUUCAACCAUAUUUUUGGUUGUUAAUAUUAAAAAAUCGUCGUAAUAUCCAACAAAUUUUUGAAUUAUAACGACUGAAAGACGAUUGUUAAAAUUGAAAACACGGUUAUUAAUUUAACGAGCUAAAAACGGUCGUUAAUUUCAAAAAUGACCAUCCGAAUUACGUCUUAGAAUGGUCGUUAUAAUUUGGUCAGUAAAUUUUAGCGACCCUAAUUUAAAUUUUAGUCACCGGAAUUUUGGUCGUGAAGCCGGCAUUUUCUAGUAGUUUAAGUAUUACAAUUUGAAAUUAUAUAGUAAAAUGUAACUUCGAUGUUAACAUAAGUUGGGUAUGUUCUAUGCAGAUAUUGAGAUUUAAAUAAGAGUCUCAUUUUGAGAUGGUCAUUUUAAACAGUAAAACACAAUAUUUGGCCAUCCAUCUAAAAAAACACAAAUUUUGGUCAUUUUUUUACGUUUUAAGACUGUUUUGCCCUUAAUUAGGACAAAUCGGAUUCGGAUUUGCGCGAGUUAGGUACACUUGGCACUAAUAGUGCCAAAAGUGCCAACAGAAAAAAAAAAAAAAAAAAAAAAAAAAACUAAGUAAACUAGUGUAUUACCCGUCGAAAUUCGACGGGUACAUAUUUUUUGUAAUUUAUAUAUUUUAUGUUAUUCUUAUGAUAAUUAUAUAAAAUAUUUUUUAUGUAAAUUAUUUAUAUAAUUAAUUAAAUUAAAUUAAUUAGUAAUACAUUUUAAAAUUAUAUUAAUCUCAACAACUUUUAGCAAUUAAAUUAUUAAUUUUGUUGAGAUCAUAAAAAUACCCAUUAGUUUUCAUAUGAAAUUUUAUAAAAAGUUACGCGUAAAGAAAAAAAAAAUAGUAGAAAUACAUAUAAAUUUGACAUAGGUAUGAUGGNNNNNNNNNNNNNNNNNNNNNNNNNNNNNNNNNNNNNNNNNNNNNNNNNNNNNNNNNNNNNNNNNNNNNNNNNNNNNNNNNNNNNNNNNNNNNNNNNNNNNNNNNNNNNNNNNNNNNNNNNNNNNNNNNNNNNNNNNNNNNNNNNNNNNNNNNNNNNNNNNNNNNNNNNNNNNNNNNNNNNNNNNNNNNNNNNNNNNNNNNNNNNNNNNNNNNNNNNNNNNNNNNNNNNNNNNNNNNNNNNNGUCGGCCUUUUGAUAUUCUGUAAAUAAGGGGGUGUAUUCGUUCAGAAUUUUUUGUAGAUUUUAAAAGUUCGUAAAUUUUAAAAGUCUAUAGAAUUCUCUCAGAUUCUUCAUGAUUUUAAAAUGAAUUUUAGACCGAAUUUUUAAUGAAUUACCAAGAAUUUGACAUAAUUUCUACGAAUUUGAAAUCCACAAAUCCAGCGAGCGCUGGGAUUCAACGGGCAUUAGAGAGGAACCCAGCGCCCGCUGGGAGGGACUUAAGAAAAGAACUAGGAGUCGAUGGAAUAUCAACGUUAGUAUUAAUUUAUCAACGUUAGUAUUAAUUAAUACUCCUUUUGUCCACUAUUUAUUGACCAACUCAAAAUGAAAUGGAUUAAGAAUUGAGGGGUCAAAAUAGCAAAAGGGAUCACGAUUGAUGAAUGGAGGGAGUAGUUAAUAGAUGUUCAAUUUAGGUUAUAAUUAAAAUUUAGUAAUUUGUAUUUAGACUUUAUUAUUUUUUAAUUGAAUUUAUUGAAUCUCUUAUUAUAAUUUAUUUAUAUUUAAUUAAUGAUUAAUUAAAUCAAUUAAAUUAAGAUUUAAAUUUCUUUAUUUUUUCUGUAAUUUAUUUUUCUCAAAAUAAUGCUAUUUUAUUUAGAAAAUUAUAUGCAAUAUGCAUCUUAAAAUAAAGAUUGCAUCACGAGCUUUGAUUUGAACGAGUGUAUACUAAAAGCAAAAUUAUACCCCUUCCAUCUCACUCUAAUAGUCAUAUUUUCUUUUUCGGGACUUCCCAUUAGAAUAUUCCUAUUUUUAUUUUUAGUAAUGAUUUUACAUUACAAACAAUGUGGCCUCACACACCUUUACACACUUUUACACUAAAAAAGCAAGUUUAUUAAUCUUCGUGCCGAAAAGAAACAUGACUAUUCUACUGGGACGGAGGGAACAUUAUUUAUAUACAAUAUCCUGUUAGAUUUCCACUAUUUUUCUUUUAUUUGAAGUAAUGACAUAAUUACAUUUAGUAUUGUUCUAUUAAUCUCAACGUUGUAGAUUAUAUAGUGUAUUGUUGAUCACAAAUUAUAUAACUGGUGUCUCAUGAGAUAUAAACAAAUUUCACUGCUGAAGUAACUGCGAACGAGUUACUAAUAUAAGUUGUAUAUAAAGAAGCAAAUAGCUUGUCUUUAGCUAUUUGUUUAUACUAGUAUGUUUAUCAAUUGGACUUAUCUUAGACUAAAUUUUGGUAAACAAUAAAAAAUGAGUCUCAUUUUGAGAUACUCAUUUUGAACAGUAAAACACAAAAUUUGGCCACCAUCUAAAAAACACAAAUUAUGGCCAUUUUUACGUUUUAAGACUGUUUUGUCCUUAAUUAGCGCGGAUCAGAUUCGGGUUUGUGAGUACACUUGACACUAUUAAUGUCAAAAUACCAACAGGAAAGGGAAAAAAAAACUAAGUAAAUUGAUACUUUUGGCACAAAUGACAAUAUUAGUGUCUAAAGUACCAGCAGAAAUUAAAAUAAAAAAAAAAACAAGUAAAUUGAUACUUUUGACACAAGUGGUAAUAUUAGGCCUAGAGAUGACAAUGGAUCCUAGAUCCGGUCCAGAUCCGUGGAUCCAGACCCUUUUUUCAGGGUCUGGAUCUCAAUUUUUUGGACCCGCGGAUUUGGAUCUGGAUCUUGAAAUUUGAGAUCCGGAUCCGACCCACAUUCAACCCGUGUAUCCGUUUUAUUUAAUAUAUAUUAUUUAUUUAUUAUAUUUAUUUUAUUAAUAAUAUUAAAUAUAUUAAAAAUUAAAAAUAAUACAAAAAUUAGAAUUACAAAUUAAAAUACUUUGUUUUGUGCAAUAUUUUUUAUGAAGAAAAUUAAAUGUUGUUGAUUUUGUGACUUUUUUUUUAAUUUAAUUUAAAAACAGUAGAUCCAUGGAUCUGGCCGCGGAUCUGACAGAUCUAGAUUCUAAAUUUUCAGAUCCGCGGAUCUGGAUCCGAUAAAAUUAAACGGAUCUGGAUCUGGUAAUGAUGAGAUCCGGUCCAGAUCCAGCCCGUUGCCAUCCCUAAUUAGGCCAAAACUAUCAUUUGAUGAUUAAACCCUAAUUAAAUGAGAAAUGUAAACCCUAAAUGAAGAAUGUAAACCUUAAAUGAUGAAUCUAAACCCUGAAUGAAGAAUCUAAACCCUACGAAGAAGAAGUGUUCAAAAUGGUCAUAUAACUGCACUCAUCUAUAAGACAGGACAUUGUACCAGCACAAUUAUAUAACACUAUUGCCACUAAUAUGGUCACUAGUACCAUUCGUGCAUGACACUAUUGGCACUAAUAGUGCCAAGUGUACCAUUUUACUUGAUUUUUUAAUUUUUAUUUUCUGUUGGUAUUUUUGGUACUAAUAGUGCCAAGUGUACCUAACCCGCGCGCAAAUCUGAAUCCGGUCCGCCCUAAUUAAGGGCAAAACAGUCAUAAAACGUAAAAAAAUGAUCAGGUUUUGUGGCUUUCAAAUCAGUGGCCAAAAUUUAUGUUUCCUUCUUCAAAAUUACAACACCAAUGUGUUGUUUCAUAAAAAAAAGUUAUUAACAGAUCCUACGUCAGUACAUACUCGCUCAGAAUUAAUAAUUACUUCAUGUAAAUUUAAUUUCAACUGAUAACUAAUUUUAUAGGAUUUAAACAUGAUUUGAUUUCUAUAUUUUCUUUAAUAAAUUAACAAUUAAAUAAAAAAUUUGAAAACUACAUCACAAAUGACUCAAACUCAAAAUCUUUGGCAUUAAUUACUAUAUCGCAGGCCAACAUGAUUUAAUUUCUUACUACAAUAUGAUGUUGUAUCAUCUAAUUAGCGAUACGAUGUUUAAGAAAACUCAAAUAUUAGUAUUACCUCAAAAGAUGUCCCAAAUUACAAAUUAUACAAAAUGUUAGUAUUUGACUCGGCUACGCAGUUCACAUAUUUGAGCUAGCAUUUCAAAAAUCACUUAACACAUUAGAGAAUUUACAGCUUCCAAACAUGAGCAAAAGAUCGAGUUUUGCACCCAGCAGGCUGCAAAAGAUUAAGCCUAGUCCUGGACACCUCCGAAGCCAUCUCGCCUCUCAGCCGGCCAGCUGAACCCCGGUGGUCCAUCAUGAUUCCCAUCACCAGAGUACGACCUGCCCCGUUGCAGGUGAGGAGGAGGUAUCGGAGGUGGUGGAGGAAGAUGGAGCGGUUGGGCCGCCAAUAUUCCUUUACCAUCCCUUGGGUCCACAAAAUUCCCACUCUGCCUCUGUUGUUCCAAACUCUUAUUCCCAGCAUUCUGUCCAUAAUCGUUCUGAAAGAAUCCCCUUCCUUGAGGAUCGACAUUCAUGAAGCCAUCCGAAGACCCUUGAGAUACCAUAGGAGGUUCCAAAGGCACAGAACCGGGCACUGCAUUCCACUGUGGAUAAUUUUGUGGAAAAUUCAUGGGUCCGGCAGGACCCGGGGGGAAACCUAGCAAUGAGCCCUGUCCCGGUCCACCUUCUGGUGUAGAAUCUGGUCUUGCCAUUCCAUAUGGUGCACCAAAGUACUGUUGCAUUCCAUCAGCUGCAUAAGGAGGAUAACCAUAUUGAGGUGGAGCUGGAACUGAAUUCGGGUUAACUGGUACAGCAGAAUUAAAAGGUUGUGAGUUGCAGGUACUAAGAGAAAUGAAAAUUGGAUAUACUUUCUCAGGAACUGACCUGAAUCUUGUCGACCACCACCCUGCCCAUGGACUUCAAAAGUUUGCUGAGGAAAGUGGUUCUGAGAAGUAGCUCUAUCAAAGGGAUGUGAUGGAAUACUAUCAGGGUGCUCUGGUGGAUGAUCUGGAGUUUGUCCGGGAAAAGGUGGCGUUGGCCUAGUCUGUACAGCAGGUCUCGUCGGUGGUUGUUCCCUGGAUUGAGGCAACUGGGCUUUGUCUUCACGAUCAUGAACUUGAGAACUUGAAUGUGGAGAAAAAACCGGCCGCAGGGGUGCUUGAACUGUGGUAUCAGAGGCUGAAGGUUUCCUAGCACUCAUCGCUUCUGAUUCAUUCCCUUCUUUUUCCUUAUUUGGGUGAAGAAGGUCAGCAUGGACCUCAUUAAUAUGCAACUCAAAUUCACUCUUCUUUAAGAAGGACUUGAGACAAUGAGGGGCUGCACAUAUAAAGAUUCCUUCCAUCAUUUUAAUCGUCUGGAUCUUCUGAAUACGUUCAUCACAGCUGUAGAAGAUGAUUGGCAAAGGAGAGUUAAAGUCAUGCAUUGCCACAGAUCAUUAACGAGGCCAAUGAACUACCAAAGCACACAACCAAAAGAAAAAAUAUAUGAAUAUCAGAAUCUUGACACCAUCAGACCCCUCCCUAAUACUCACAGUAGAGUUUGUAUUCAAUCCCCUCAACACAAAAUACUGGCAUAUAACCAGCAAAUGAAGCUCCAAUUUAUUAGCAUAAAUUUUACCACUAUUCACUAAUUUCUAAAAGUAAUACUCUCUAGUUAAACCAGGCAGCUGUUAAGUUAUUGACUUCUUGACAAGUCAUUAAAUUGGUUGUGUUGGCAGCUGUAAACAGAAAUGAAUUAAGUCGUCCAUGGAAGCAUUUUUGCUUGUUGUAGACAACCCCACUGAUUUGAUGCAGAAAUGCCAUAUCAUAAUUUUGAAAGACUUCAUGAGAUCAUUCUCCUAAACAAAAAUGCAACACUCACACAAAAAAACUAAAUGUAUAGAAAGGUAUGUCAUACAGAUAACAAAGAGAAUGGCUCCUGGCACAGUCCAAACAGAAGGCAUGCUCACAUGGGCUCUGCAAUAAAAAAGAAGUUUGUCAGCAUAUAGGCUAAACAUAUAUGCAGAGAAAAUAGCUGCAUGUAGAAAUGAAUUUAGCAGUCCUCAUAGCAGCACUCUUCUUAAUAGCUUCGAACAGAUCAGACACAAAUGUCAAGAUGUGCCAACAGGCCCAGCGCAUAGAGGCAUAGGUUCAGGUAAAACCGUGAUGACAUGCUUCUUGUAACACAAAAUGAAGUAGAUAAAGGUGUCCCAAUAAAAGAGGCAAUAUCUUAAAGCAAUACAUUAAGAAAAAACUUAGCAUACACACUCGUACAUGUUCAUUUCUUCAUGAAGUCAAACUCUAGAAGAAAACAGAUGUAUCACAAACACAUAGUGUCAAAGAUUAAUAGUCAGACUCGAUGUAAUAUGCAAUUGUCCUCUACCCAGAAAAAGGUGUCAAUGCAUUCAAGUAUUGGUCUCAGUAAAUACUACAAAGAAAGAUAUACUCCCUCUGUCCCACUGAUAAUGGCACAAUCUAAAACUAGAAUGUGUCCAUGUGUCCCUACCCACUUUACACUCUUAACAACUUUUUCUUAAUCUGUGUACCUAGAAAAAUAGUUUCAUUAUCAAUGGGACGGAGGGAGUACAAAUUUUCUGGACUCACCAAUCAAAUCAUGCCAACGCUUACUUAUUAGCCUUAGGGGCCAAUUACUUUUGAGUGAUAGGAAAGAUUAAUAAAACAUAAGAUUGAGUAUAUGAAGCAUAAGAUGGUCAAACAAGUUCAAAAUUAAUCAAUCGAUCAAAAAGCAGAUUAGUAGCUUGAAUUUUUUUUAUCUAUCCAUCCUAUCACUCAAAGUAAAAUCUAUUCAUCCUAUCACUCAAAGUAAAUGGCUCCUCAGGUUAUCUAAAACUCAAAUUAAAAGACUGUAAUGUUACUUACCAGACGCCCAUAAAUAGCGACGGGAAAGUCGCAUCGAACACAGAAAUGAACACGCUCGCCAAGCUGGCGACGGGAGCGUCGUCCAACAGAUUUGAUAACAGCAGUUGCAGAUGCUGUACCCAGACCCUUCGCCACAGGAAGAUCAGCUAACACAAGAUGAUCGGGGCAAGCAACUGUGACGGUCUCCACAGCCACAGGUUUUGCAGUUGCACCAGUUUCACUAGCUGGCUUGCUAAGCCGAAUCUGCAGCAUCUUACUACUGUGUGUGUGUGUACAAUUUAGACUUCCAACUCGGAAAACAACCACUGCCUGAUUCUAUUUCUGCAAAGAUCCAGCGGUAUGCAUAGGUCACAAUUCAGAACUGGCAUAUCAAUUAAAACUUUCAGCAUGAAAUUUAACAAAUAUACUCCAAAUUUUGAUAACAAUAACACGAAGCUAGUUAGGUAUGUUUUACAAAAUUUCAUGAAGAGAUGAGUAUUUACCUUAUUGAUUUUCGAAUCGGUGAAUAUACGACAUUGCAGCUGAGCUUUCGAAACCGCUCACAGAAAAAUCUAAUACUAAAAUCAGUGUAUUGAUCGAAGUUAGCGUGAUAGAAUUCGUGAAAUCGUCUGAUUUUUGGAAAAGGGAAGGGAUCUGAUAUUAUUUCUAGCCCUAAAACGAUAUUAUGCUGUUUAUCUAUUAUCUAUACGUCGAGUUGGGCUUCUAACACUACUAUUUGGGCCGGUAUUGAUUAUAUUAAUUGGUUGGGCUUCGUAACUUUAUUUUUGUCUUGAUAAAACUAAAUUAGUGGUUGUAUAAAAAAUAGUACUGGUAUAGUAAUUAACACUUCCUCCGUCCCUAAAAAAUACCCAUGAUACUAUUUUUUUCUAUAAAAGUGUGAUAAUUAUGUUUGAGUGAAAAUUGGGUCCACAUUUAUUUUAAAUAGUGAGAGGAAAAGUUUGUGGGAUACAAAAAUAUUACAAUUUUGAGGGACAUGUCCAUAUAGUAUUACAAUAAUUUAUUGGUUUAUAUAAUUUUUAUUUUGAUUGCGUAAAUAUAUAUUUUUAUUUUAUGUAGCCGAAAUAAUAUUUUUUGUCUUUGCUUAAUAAACGGAAUAUUAAGAUGAGAUUUAAGAAAUAUACUUGACACCAUGUAUUUGUCCUGUAUCGGUUGAAUUUAUCUAAAAUCUAGAUGGGAUCGAGUCGAUUGAUAAACAUGUAGACCGGUGGUUAUAAUUGAAUGUUUGUUACUUUUUUCAUUUUUAUUCCUUUUAUUGUAUUUCUAUUUUUGGGCUAGGAUUCUAUAUUUGGGAUUAGUAAAUUAUUUUUAUUGGCCUGAUAAUAUUGGAUUGGUGAUUCUGUAGAAAUUUAACAUUUUCUUAAAUCUGAAUUUUGGAUUCUUAAAAUUUUUAUUUUACUAACUGUAAUAACAAAUACGACCCAUUUAAAAAUAAUUCGUGUUUUUCUAAAAAAGAAAUUAAAUAGAGAAAAAGUAUAGAAGUAUUUAGCUGGAUAUUUGGACAUGCCAAAAAGCACAGAUAAUCGUCUUAUUAAAAUGCUAAUUGUAGCACAAUAUAUAUGAUAAAUUAUUUUGUGUAAUUCAUAAAGUAUAAUUCAUUAUAUGUGUAAAACAGUGCCGGGGCAUUUACUUUUAGUUAUUGUUUACUUUGUAUGAUUGAUCAAAUAUAAAAUUGAGUAUUUCUAUUUUUAAAUAGUGAAUUUUUUCAUCUCAUCUUUUUAAUAAAAUAUAAAUCAAGUGAAAAAGUUGUGCAAAUGAUCAUAGUCUUAGAAUAACCAAAAUUCUAAUCCAUCUAAUAAACAAAGGGAUUAACCUAUUUUUUAUAUAUCACGGCCCUCAAAAUUAGUAAACGCCCCUUAAAAAUUAGUUUUGAGAAUAAAAAUACUCAAUUAUGAAUCUUAUUAAUUACGCAAAGUAAAUGCCCUUAAUAUAACAUGUAAUAUUAUAAAAAUAAUUGUUGAUUGAUAAAAUAAUACAUAUAUAUAAAUUUGGUACGUGUGUGUGUGUGUGUUUAUCAUGGAGACCAAAAUCACGUUGAGGGAAAAAUCCUAAUACAAGAUCAUAUAGCAUAUUUUCAUUCGUAAGAAUUAAAUGGGAUUUCCAUGCUAGCUUAUUGUAAUAAAAAAUAUCUGUGACCUUAUUAUGACUUCUUACCUGUAGUAAAUUCGAGCUCCAAAAUUUAGUGUACAAGAUCUGAUAUCAUUUAAGCUUAUCAUUAAUCCUUUAUAUACAUGUUUUUGUUCAUCACAAUAUAUGGCUUAAUCAUACGCCUUAAUAUUUAAAAUUCUUGGCCCCAUGCAACCUAAUAGUAUUUUGUAGAACAAACAAGUAGGCGUGUGGUGGAAAAUUUGAAAGAAAUGAAAAUGUUGAUGAAGCUGCCACAAUUCUGGUGGGUUGGAUUGGUUUUACACAUGUUGUUUUUGCCUAUUUAUUCUCAGAUUGUUCACAGGUGAUUAUUUCUUUUCUUCUUUUUUUAGUGCACCUCAGGUUGACUUUUGUAUAAGACGAUCUCAUUUUGUCAUAUUUUGAGACACAUGUCAAGAUUUGAAUACAAUUUCGUAUGUCAAUGAAUAUAUUUUGUGUGAGAUUUUAAUCACAUAUCACUACAUACAAAUUCAUAUCCAAUGAUAUAUAUUUAUAGUUAGAGAUAUUAAUGAAAUUAUAAUUAUGUAUUUGAUAUAUGAAAUUGCAUUUGAAUAUGUCCCAUGAUGAGAUAGCUAGUCUAACUGGGAUGAAUAUAAAUAUAUGUACAUCGAUCAGAUGUACAUAGUUUUUUCCCUUAUUAAUUUACUUCAUUUGCAAUUGAACCAUCUAAUUCUUAUUAGCAUCAUUUACACGGGUACUCUCUUGUUGCUCUCGUAUUUUUUUUUUCUAGGGCUUUUGCCGGAAAGAUUUGAAUGAAGCCCAACCUCUAGGAUUGAAUUUGUAGGCUAUGAAAUUUGAGAUUUUCUUUUAUCUUAAUUAUAUUCGAAUUUGUUUCUGGAUCGCAGACGAGUGCUCAUCAAUGAUACAAUUGAAGCUGAUUCGGCAUCUAAGGGAGUACAGCUGGUUCAACGGGCUAACCAUGUAUACUUAAAAUUUAGCCAAAAUCUAAUAUACUUUUAAUUUCAGUAAAUUUAUAACAUGUUUCAUCGCAGGUUGUAAUGAGUAAUGGAAUGGUUAGCAUCACAAUUAGCUCACCAGGCGGUUCCGUCACCGAUAUAACAUACAAAGGAAGUGAGAAUUUGCUUCUAGUUCAAGAUAAAGAAUCAGAUAGAGGGUACACUAAUAUAUCAAUCUUGUCUCAUAUUUUUUCUUUACCACUAGACGCUAUAUAUAUAUAUAUAUACAUAAACGUUCACUGAUAAUAAUGAAACAUGAGACGCGAUACGAAACUGCAUGAGACAAGUCUCACAAACAGUUUAUAUCAUGAUAAUUGUUUUCUUGUAUUUAAUACAUAUAAAUCAAAAUGGAUUUUUCGGUCAAGAAUGAGCUAGAUGUUACAUUGAUGAACAUAUUAAAUUUAUAGGCAUUGGGACGUUGUUUGGAACGAGGCAUCAGGAGGUAUUGAUAAUGUUGACAAGUGAGUAUGCAUAUCAUCACAUAUUGAAUUAGUAUAUAUAAAUAAUAGAGGCCAUUAACUAAUUUCUUUGUGCAUGCAGUUUGGAAGGAACAGAUUUUAAGGUCAUAUUACAAAAUGAAAAUCAAACUGAGAUUUCAUUUACCAGAACGUGGUCUUUUGCUGGCUCACUCGCUCCCUUAAACAUCGAUAAGAGGUCAUAAAUAUUCUCAAAUGGACUUUAAUUUACUUAUGCAACACUACUAAACUAAGUGUUGCAUAGUAGUGUUGCAUAAAUAUAAAUAGAUUUAAUAAACUUUUGAAUUGAUGCAUUUUUUAAUGGUAAAAUAGGUACGUCAUGUUGCGUGGGUCUCCUGGAUUCUAUACAUAUGUUGUACUCGAACGUUUAAAAGGGUGGCCUUCUUUUCGUAUACAAGAAGGAAGAAUCGUCUUCAAACUUCAAGAAAACAAGUAAUCUCUUCGUCUCAAAUAUUAUGUCUUAAUAAUUAUUUCUAUGUAGAUACAUGGAUCAUAAUAACGUAACGCUUCAUUUGUGCAUAUGUAUAGGUUUCACUACAUGGCUAUGUCUGAUGAAAGGCAAAGGUUGAUGCCAACGCCUGAGGAUCGUAAAUCUGGCGUUCCUCUUGCUUAUAAGGAAGCUAUUCUCUUAACUAAUCCCAAAUUCAAAGGAGAGGUAAAAUAAAUAAAACAAUAAUAUGACUACAUAUCUAUCCAAUUUUUUGGUGCUCUACUAUAUAUUAAUUAGUUAUAGCUAUAAUAUAAUACUCCCUCCGUCCUAACUUUUGGUAUCCAGUUGGGAACAACACGGGUUUUAAUAAAGUCAUUGAUGUGUUGUGAGUGGAAUAAGGGUCCCACAUUAUAUGUGAGAGUUAAAAUAAUUAAAGUGGAGUAAGGGUCCCACCUACUUUUACUAAAAAAAGAAGUGGAUACCAAAAUGUGGGACGGCCAAAAAAGGAAAGUUGGAUACUAAAAGCUGGGACGGAGGGAGUAAUUUUUAUUUUUAUAAGUAUUAAAAUAGCGGGACAUUGAAAUUGUUGGACAUACGAUACAAUUAAACCCGGAAAAUGUUGUACCGAUUGUGAUUUUUGAUAGACGUGAAUCAGGUGGAUGAUAAAUACUUGUACUCGUGUGACAACGAGGAUAAUAAGGUACAUGGAUGGGUUAGCAAUGACACGGUGCCACUAGGGUUUUGGAUGAUAACUCCAAGCAAUGAAUUUCGGACAGGUGGGCCAAUCAAACAAGAUCUCACUUCUCAUGUUGGCCCAACUCUACUUUCUGUAAGUAUUCUAGUUUUAAUUCUUGUGCUAAAUUAUGAAGUGUUUAGAAUAUGCUACCAUCAUUAAUUACAAAUAUAUAUGUAGAUGUUCAUCAGCAGACAUUAUGCUGGGGCAGAGAUGGAUGUCACUUUUGAAACUCAAGAUUACUGGAAAAAAGUUUUUGGCCCUAAUUAUGUGUAUCUCAACUCUGAUGUUUCUGCUCGAACAGAUGCUUCUAUUCUUUGGAACGAUGCUAAACUAAGGGUAUAAAAUUACUACUAAAUUUAAAUUCAAAUAUACAAAAUAAUAAUCACACAACUUUCAGCCUUUUCUUUAUCUGGUGAAGCUAAUUUUAUUUUAAUUUUGAUUCGUUUUUGGGUUAAUUUAUGAUGAUCAGAUGCAGAAGGAAGUAGCUGAUUGGCCAUAUAAUUUCCUACGUUCGGUAGAAUACCUUAAAUCCGAUCAAAGGGGAUCUCUUAGUGGUCAAUUACAUGUUCAUGAUCGGUAUGAGAUGUUCUGUUACAAAUUAUGUUUUAUAUUAAUCUUUCAUUUGAUCUUUUGUCUAAUAUUACAUUUUUUAUUGUUUCAUUAUAUAUAUAUAUAGGUUUGUUAGUCUGCAACCUGUGCCGGCAGCCUCAGCUUAUGUGGGACUGGCUCCACCUGGAGCCGCUGGGUCAUGGCAGAUUGAGAAUAAGGUUUAGUUAUACUAAAUUUCUUAAAACUCAAAAAAAAAAUCAUGUGUUUGUGAUAUUAUUUAAUCUAGUUUGAUUUCUAUUCCAGGGAUACCAAUUUUGGACACAAACCGAUGAGAAAGGAAAUUUCGUAAUCAAGAAUGUGAUUCCUGGAACUUAUAGCUUGUAUGGAUGGGUUCCGGGAGUUGUUGGAAACUUUAAGCAUGUUUCCGAUAUCAAGAUUAAUGCUAACUCUAAUGUCAGGGCUGAAAACGUUGUGUUCAGUCCCCCAAGGAACGGUGCGACUUUGUGGGAGAUCGGAAUUCCCGAUCGCUCUGCUAGCGAAUUUUUCAUUCCUGAUCCUCCUCCAAGAUUCAAGAUUCAUCCGUACAAACUUCCCGUUGAAAAGUUUGACUCGAUCUCGAAUUCUCAUAGAGUAAUACUGUACAUAAUACCUAUUUCUUAUCUUGAUUAGUCUCUUUCGUGUUGAUAGGUUCAGGCAAUAUGGACUUUGGGAACGUUACACGGAUCUAUAUCCAAAAAAGGACCUUGUUUUCACAAUUGGUACUAGCAAUUAUAAGAAAGAUUGGUUUUUCGCACAUGUAACAAGGUAAGACACUUAGUAAUCAGAGGAAACUCUUUAAUUUAUUCCAUUAUUAUAUAUAACCAUUGUUGCAACUUAGGAAAGUGGGAGAUAACCAAUAUGCACCAACAACAUGGAAAAUAGUGUUCAACCUCAAGACUGUGGACCAAAAAGCAAACUACACUCUCCAAUUGGCCCUCGCAUCAGCCAAUGCAGCAAAUAUACAAGUACCAACACUUGAUUUUUUUUUCUUAUUGUUAAUCAAUUCGAAUAAUCCUGUAUAAUAUACCAUUAUGUUAAUAUUGUGAUAUAUAUUAAGGUACGUUUCAACGAUCAAGAAUCAGCUCCACAGUUUGAGACGGGGUUUAUAGGGCAUGACAAUGCCUUGGCAAGACAUGGGAUUCGAGGGUUAUACCAUUUUUACAGUAUGAUGGUACAAGGAGCAAAACUUGUUCUAGGAGAGAACAAGCUAUUCUUAACACAUGCGAACAAGCAUGGACCCAACCAGUUUGGACCUUUUACCAAUGUCAUGUAUGACUAUAUCCGUUUAGAAGGCCCACCAACAACACAUAAAUUUGUUGAUGAAUAUCAUGAUAUGGAAUAGAGGAUCUAUGAUCUCAUUCAAUAGAUCUCAAUUCGAUCAACUUUCUAUCUUUUGUUGUCUCCACCAAAUAGUGUAGAAUAAAAUCUUUAAUGAAACUUCAUGUGCAUGCAACGUUAAUUAAAUAAUUAAUAUAUUAACUUUUUAAUUAAAUAUUAGAUAAAAAUGAACCAACUAGGGAAUUAAUAUAUUAAUGAUCAAUGAUAGCUAAUUAACUACCACUAAUCGGUUCAUUUUUUAUCUAUAUAAUAGCUAUUAUAUAGAGAAAAAAUGAACUGACUAUGGUAGUUAAUUAGUGUUAAAUUAUAUUGAUCAAUUGCGGCCCAUUGAUUUAUGUGAUACUUGACUUGUUAAAAAUAUAGUUGUAGCAUAAUAGAAACAAAAUAUAAAGUUCUCUAUUUCAUAUCUAAUAUUAUCUUCAUACUUUUUUAUGUAAAUCUAGUCGCUUCUAAAACAGUCACAUUUGAUUAAACAUACUACUUAGUUAGAUGAGACAAGAUAGAAAAAUAGAAAAAUAGAACAAAUAUAGAAAUUAAAGGAGAAUUUCUGCUUCUUCGCUGAACUGUUUAGAUAAAAAAAAAAUGACUUCAAAUGGUUAAUUAUUAGUAGUACAUAAAAUAUGGCUCAAGAGAAAGAGAAAAAUAAAAAUAAUAAAAAUAAAAAAUAAGACCUUUAUUGAAAAGUGAGGCAACCUUUUCAACAACCAUCAUCUUUGGUGUCGAAUCUACCAAUGACUCGUAUGUCCACUUCAGACACUCACACAUAAAAGAAAUAGGCCUACCUUAAUAUGUUGUAUUCCCUCCGCACCUCAAAUAAUUUUUUAGAAGGAAGGGACACGAGUUUUAAGAUAAAGUUAUUGAGUGCAUUGAAAGUGAUUAAAAGGUAUUAUAAUUACUAUUAAAAAUGAUAAAAAAAUUGUGUUAUAAUUCAUAUUGAAAGUAGUGAAAAGCUGAAAAAUAAAAAUAAAUGAAUUAUUAUUCGUGAUAGGGUAGUGUUCCAAAAUGAAUAGAAAACUAUUCGAGGGACGAUGAAAAACAUAUAAAAAAUUAUUUGGGUUGAAAGUGGAGUAUACAUUUUCAAUAUCCAAAUCGCCGUUGGCCCUGUUCUCCAAGAAAAUGGUCAAACCCCAAAGAAAUCCCCAAAUUUUAUCCCAUUCACUCUCUCUAAAUUCCGACGACAGCAGCGCCGCACCACACGCCCUCCUCCUCUCGGACUCCCUCUCGCUUGACUCUCCUGCACCUAAAGUGCCAAACAAAAAUCCUACUUCCUCAAACACCACUCGUUGUCUCUCUCCCUUUUAACCGAACAAUAGCAGCCUCGCUACCACCGUCGUUGGCCGCCUCCACCGCCUUUCCCUUUGGCCAGACGCAACAACACAACAGCUGCUAUUGCCAGCACUCUCCCUCCCUCUCUCUCUCUCGAUCGAGCAACAUGUACAACUACAAGAGCCGCCCCCUUGGCGGCUCUUGUUGAAAAUCCUUGACAUCAUCUAAUGAUACACAUCAAAAAUACAAUUAAGGAUAAGAUCUAGAUUUACAAUUAAAUCAUGUGUAGAGAUAAUCACACAACAGUUAGAAGAACUAUAUAAAUGGUUUCGAAUUCAACCAUACAAAAUAGAAUUGAUUAGUUUUUCAGUUGAAUUUUAAUUAUAUAUAUAAUUAAGGGUUAAGUAUCAAAUACACCCUUAAUAUAGAGUCCCUUAUCACGUCUAGCACCCUAUAGUCGAGGUCGGUUCAACUAAACCUCCGAAGUCCUUAAUUUCGUGCAAUUAGCCCAUCUGCCCUAAUGGUUGUUUAACACAAUUAAUUAUUUUAAAUUUUUUUAUUUAGUUGGUGGUGGGACCCACGCCUUCUUCUUCGCCAAGCUCACCGAAAACACGCCGAAAAUUCGACGAUUGGUCCACGCCGUCAGGCGCCGCCCCUCUCACCACUCUCUUCCCCUAAAUCACACAAACCUCCCCUCCGGCGAGAAGUUGCCACCUUUUCUUGAAUCUCUGGCGAGCCGCCACAUCACUUGAUUUGGAAACUCGACCUGAAAGCUUAUUCAAACCAAUGUAAGUAGCACUUUUCUGGAAGAGAAUAGAUUUUCGUUUCAUUGAAUAGCUACUUCAUCAAUACUCUCAUUUUCUUCUUUCCGCCGCACGCGCGAAUGAUCUGCUAUCAGCAAUCAGAUUUAGAAAAGGCAGCUGAGGCGCAUCCAACUUCUCCUGAUCUCGCCGUUGUCAUAACCAAUCCGUCUCCAGACGCCGGCGGCGAGAUGCAUCCAGUGAUUAGGAUCUUGCAGGAGAGGGAUCUGGGAAAGGUAUUACUUGGCUCGGCUAUUGUGAUAUUGUGGAUCGUGGUUGCCGAAAAAGACAGGCUGGCUCAAUCGGAGGUCAGCUUGGUUCUGACUCCAGCGUGCCUCAGCUUCAUGGCUAUCCUCUACAGAAUCAUUCUCAGAGACACGCUCCCUAGAUUCGCCCAAAUUGUUGAGCUGCUGGGAAUCGCUCUGGUCGCCGUUGCCUUCUUCGCAGUGGCCGAUUUCUUCAUGCCGGUGGAGCUUCUAUGGUUUCUUCAUGCCGGGAAGUCAUCCCCCAUGUCAGCUGCUGCAGUUGCUAGUGCACUAGCCGGUGAAGGCACAACACACAUGCCUCAUCUAUUCAGUUUCCUAUCUGCUGACAAUCAAGGAAUGGAAGCAUAUUUUCAUGCUCGCCAGAGAUUCAAGAGGAGGUGGUGGCUUGUCGCCGUCCGCGGCAGGAUUUUGAGAGAGAGAGAGGGCGAUGCGACGGAUUUCCAGUGUGUUUUCGGCGAGCUUGGUGAAGAAGAAGGCAUGGGUCCCAUAGCCAACGAAAAAAAUUAAAAUUAAAAUAGUUAACGGUGUUAAACAACCGUUAAGGACUUCGGAGGUUUAGUUGAACCGACCUCGACUAUAGGGUGCUAGACGUGAUAAAGGCAUCUAUAUGUUAGUGGCGUAUUUGAUACUUAACGCUAUGAUUAAUAAAUAUGUAAUAUUAUUUUUUUGUAUGAACUUUUAUAUAAGUUGCUCGCAUAAUAAAAUAUAGAAAUUGAUUGAGAGAAACGAGUGACAUUGACAAUUCUAGUUGCUAUACAAUACCGAGCGUGAAACAGUUAGGGGCUGCUUUUCCUCUCUACUACAAUCCACGCUAAUCCAAUCCAGAUUAUAGUAUAAAUUAUGAUGAUUGACAACUUUUUAUUUUAUAAGUGAAAACUACUAAAAAAAGAAAAAGAAAAUCGAUUUAAGACCAAGAAAAAUAAGUGGGGGGGCUGCUUUUCCUCUCUACAAUCCACGCUAAUCCAAUCCAGAUUACUAUAAAUUAUGAAGAUGACAAGUUUUUAUUUCAUACGUGAAAACUACUAAAAAAAGAAAAAAAAUACGAUUUAAAACCAAGAAAAAUAAGUGGAAAAAUUCACCAAAACGCAUUAGAUAGGAAUUGAUAUGGUAGAACUGGGUGUACACAAGAUCAGCUCCAUGCAACCUAAUAUUUUGUAGAACAAACAACUAGGUGUGGUGCAAAAAAUUGAAAGAAAUGAAAAUGUUGAUGAAGCUGCCACAAUUCUGGUGGGUUGGAUUGGUUCUGCACCUAUUGUUUUUGCCUAUUUAUUCUCAGAAUGUUCACAGGUGAUUAUUAUUUUCUUUUUUUUCUAGUGCGCGUCAUGUUGAAGCUUAUUAAAAUAUGAGAGACUCUUGUAUUUUGAGACAUGUCAAGAUUUGAAUCAAAUUCGUAUAUUAAUGAAUAUAUUUGUUGAGAUUUUAAUCACAUAUCACUAUAUUUAAAUUCAUAUCCAUUGAUAUAUAUUUAUAAUUAGAGAUAUUAAUGAAAUUAUAAUUAUGUAUUUGAUAUAUGAAAUUGCAUUCGAAUAUGUCCCAUGAUGAGAUAGUCUAAUUGGGAUGAAUAUAUAUGUACACCAGAUGUACAUAGUUUUUUCCUUUAUUAAUUUACUUCAUUUGCAAUUGAACCAUCUAAUUCUUAUUAGCAUCAUUUACACGGGUACUCUCUUGUUGCUCUUGUAUUUUUUUUCUAGGACGUUUGCCGGAAAGAUUUGAAUGAAGCCCAGCCUCUAGGAUUGAAUUUGUAGGCUAUGAAAUUUGAGAUUUUCUUUUAUCUUAAUUAUAUUCGAAUUUGUUUCUGGAUCGCAGACGAGUGCUCAUCAAUGAUACAAUUGAAGCUGAUUCGGCAUCUCAGGGACUACAACUGGUUCAACAGCCUAACCAUGUAUGCUUAAAAUUAGCCAAAAUCUUACAUACUUUUAAUUUUCAGUAAAUUUAUAACAUGUUCAUCCCAGGUUGUAAUGAGUAAUGGAAUGGUUAGCAUCACAAUUAGCUCACCAGGCGGUUCCGUCACCAAUAUAACAUACAAAGGAAGUGACAAUUUGCUUCUAGUUCGAGAAGAAGAAUCAGACAGAGGGUACACUAACAUAUCAAUCUCGUCGUCUCAUAUAUACAUAAUGUCAUUUAAUGCACAUAACGUUCAUUUAUAAUAAUGAACAUGAGAUGCGAUAUAAGACUGCAGGAGACAAGUCCCACAAACGGUUUAUAUCAUGAUAAUUGUUUUCUUGUAUCUAAUAUAUAUAAAUCAAAAUGAAUGUUUUUGGUCAAGAAUUAGCCUUACAUUGAUGAACAUAUUAAAUUUAUAGGCAUUGGAACGUUGUUUGGAACGAGGCAUUAGGAGGUAUUGAUCAUAUUGACAAGUAAGUAUGCAUAUGAUCAUCAUAUAUAAUUCGAAAUUGAAUUAGUAUAUAUAAAUAAUUGAGGCCAUUAACUAAUUUCUUUGUGCAUGCAGUUUGGAAGGAACAGAUUUUAAGGUCAUAUUGCAAAAUGAAAAUCAAAUUGAGAUUUCAUUUACCAGAACAUGGUCUUCUGCUGGCUCACUCGCUCCCUUAAACGUCGAUAAGAGGUGAUAAAUAUUCUCAAAUGGACUUUAAUUUACUUAUGCAACACUACUAAACUAAGUGUCGCAUAAAUAUAAAUAGAUUUAACAAACUUUUGAAUUGAUGUUUCUUUGAAUGGUAAAAUAGGUACGUGAUGCUGCGUGGGUCUCCUGGAUUCUAUACAUAUGCUGUACUCGAACGUUUAAAAGGGUGGCCUUCUUUUCGUAUACAAGAAGGAAGAAUCGUCUUCAAACUUCAAGAAAACAAGUAAUCUCUUCGUCUCAAAUAUUAUGUCUAGAUUAUUUUUAUAAUUUUAAUAAUAGAUACAUGGAUCAUAAUAACGCUUCAUUUGUGCAUAUAUAUAGGUUUCGCUACAUGGCUAUGUCUGAUGAAAGGCAAAGGUUGAUGCCAACGCCUGAGGAUCGUAAAUCUGGCGAACCUCUUGCUUAUAAGGAAGCUGUUCUCUUAACUAAUCCUGAAUUCAAAGGAGAGGUAAAACAAAUAAAACAAUAAUAUGACUACAUCUCUAUCCAAUUUAUUGGUGCUCUACUAUAUAUUAAUUAGUUAUAGCUAUAAUAUACUCUCUCCGUCCACAAAACAUAGUCCUAAAAGAGAACGACACAGAUUUUAAUGAAAAUGGUUAUGUUUAUUGUAAGUUGACAAAAGGUCCCACACAAAAGGGUCCACCAUAUGAAAAAAAGUUUCCAAUAGUGGAAAAUGACUAAUUUUUGUUGACGUCCCAAAAUGACAAAAAUGAAUUAUUUUUUAUGUACGAAGUGAGUAAUAAUUUUUAUUUUUAUAAUAAAUAUUAUUAAAAUAGCGGGACAUUGAAAUUGUUGGACAUAUGAUAUGAUUACACCCAGAAAAAUAUUGUACCGAUUGUGAUUUUUGAUAAACGUGAAUCAGGUGGAUGAUAAAUACUUGUACUCCUGCGACAACAAGGAUAAUAAGGUCCAUGGAUGGGUUAGCAAUGACACAGUGCCAAUAGGGUUUUGGAUGAUAAAUCCAAGCAAUGAAUUUUGGACAGGUGGGCCAACCAAACAAGAUCUCACUUCUCAUAUUGGCAGUUCUCAUGGUGGCCCAACUGUGCUUUCUGUAAGUAUUUUAAUUUUAAUUCUCGUGCUAAAUUAUGGAAUGUUUAGAAUAUGCUACCAUUACUAAUUACAUAUAUAUAUGUAGAUGUUCAUCAGCAGACAUUAUAUUGGGGCGGAUAUAGAUAUCACAUUUGAAACUCAAGAUUACUGGAAAAAAGUUUUUGGCCCUAAUUAUGUCUAUCUCAACUCCGAUGCUUCUGCUCUAACAGAUCCUUCUAUUCUUUGGAACGACGCUAAACUAAGGGUAUAAAUUUAGUACUAAUUUUUAAUCCAAAUAUACAAAAUAAUUAAUCACACAACUUUUAGCCUUUUCUUUAUUUGGUGGAGAGAAUUUUAUUUUUGAUUCGUUUUUGGGUUAAUUGAUGAUGAUCAGAUGCAGAAGGAAGUAGCUGAUUGGCCAUAUAAUUUCAUAAGUUCGGUAGAGUACCUUAAAUCCGAUCAAAGGGGAUCUCUUACUGGUCAAUUACUUGUUCAUGAUCGGUAUGAAAUGCUUAGUUACAAAUUAUGUUUUAAAUUAAUCUUUCAUUUGACUUUUUAUUUAAUAGGGGUAAUUUCCUGUAAAUCUAUAAUGUUUCCCCCGAAUUGGUAUUUGCACCUAAUUUAAAAACUCUACUUUUAAAUACAUAACCUUUCGUUUUUGUCUCAAAUUAGUCCGGUGACCGAUUUUUCUUAUGCCGGCACCGAAAAUGACACAGUGGCAGCCGAAAUUGACACCGAGGCAUAUUUUUUACAUUUGGAACAAAAAAAAAAAAAAAGAAUAAAAAAAUAAUAAAAACCCACAUCAUCAUCUUCGCCAACCUCCCCCACUCCCAACACUCCCAAACCUUAAUUUUUCCUCCCCCCCACCCGCCUCCUGCCACAGCCGCCUGCGAGCGAGGAUUCUUGCGGCUCACUGCCCCUUCCUCUUCCCCCACCCUCCGUCGCCGCCACAGCCGAUCUAAGCGGAUCUUACAACCGCCGCCCUCCGUUGCCCCCUCCUCUUUCUCCACCCUCCAUCACCGCCAUCUCUCUCAUUCGCACCUCUGUCGGACCCUCCCCUUUCCCCCACCUCGGCGCCUCCACUUCCCCUCCCCAUCCCCCUCCCCAGAUCCACGUCGGCGAAUCUAGGGCUCAACAACGAAGGUCACGGUGGUGCAGCUCCGCAACUUCCGCGGCUGCUUUGAUGGGGAUUUUGUGGCGGCCGUGGGAAGGAGCGACUGCGCCCAGUCGGUGGAGAAUGCCAUGGCGGUGGAGUGAGAUCCACCGGUCGUCACGAGCUGGGGUUUUUCUGUCGUCGUCUGCAAAGUCUAUAGUCAUGAGCGAGAUCUGGUCGGCGUCGAGAUACUGUUUUAGAUUUGGAGGAGAGGGUGGUGGUGGCGGUAGGGGGCAGCAUCGGCGGUGGUGGCGGCAGAGGGUGGCGGCGGUGGGUGGGAGGAGGUGAAUUAGAGUCAGCGGGUGGGGGAAGGUGAAUUAGAUUUUGGAAGUGGGGGAGGUUGGGGAAGAUAAUUAUUUGGAUUUUUUAUUUUUAUUUAAAAAAAAUCCACCACAUGUCAUAAAUGUGUCACCAUGUCAAUUCUGGCCGCCACCGUAUCAUUUUCGGCACCGGCGUAAGAAAAAAUCGGUCACGGGACAAAAUUGAGACAAAAAUGAAAGGUUAUGAAUUUAAAUGUAGAGUUUUUAAAUUUGGAGCAAAAAUCAAUUCGAGGGAAACGUUAUGGAUUUACAGGCAAUUACCCCUAUUUAAUAUUACAUUUUUUUUAUCGUUUCAUUAUAUAAAUUCAUAGGUUUGUUAGUCUACAACCUGUGCCAGCAACCUCAGCUUAUGUGGGACUGGCUCCGGCGGGAGCCGCGGAGUCAUGGCAGAUUGAGAGUAAGGUAGUCAUACUAAAUUUUCUUAGCACUAUUUUUUUNUCAUGUGUUUGUCAUAUUAUUAAUCUAGUUUGAUUUCGAUUUCGAUUUCAGGGAUACCAAUUUUGGACACAAACGGACGAGAAAGGAAAUUUCGUAAUCAAGAAUGUGAUUCCGGGAACUUAUAGCUUGUUUGGAUGGGUUCCAGGAGUUGUUGGAAACUUUAAGCAUGUUUCUGAUAUCAAGAUCGAUGCUGGAUCUAGUGUCAAGGCUGAAAAUGUUGUGUUCAGUCCCCCAAGGAACGGUGCGACUUUGUGGGAGAUCGGAAUUCCCGAUCGCUCCGCUAUCGAAUUUUUCAUUCCAGAUCCUCCUCCAAGAUUCAAGAUUCAUCCGUACAAACUUCCCAUUGAAAAGUUAGACUCGAGCUCGAAUUCUCAUAGAGUAAUACUGUAUAUAAUACCUAUUGAAUUUCUUAUCUUGAUUAGUCUCUUUUGUGUUGAUAGAUUCAGGCAAUAUGGACUUUGGGAACGUUACACGGAUCUAUAUCCAAAACAGGACCUUGUUUUCACAAUUGGGACUAGCAAUUAUAAGGAAGAUUGGUUUUUCACACAUGUAGCAAGGUAAGAUGCUUAGUAAAUCACAUGAAACUCUUUAAUUUAUUCCAUUAUUAUAUAUAACCAUUGUUGCAACUUAGGAAAGUGGGAGAUAUCCAAUAUGAACCAACAACAUGGCAAAUAGUGUUCGACCUCAAGACUGUGGACCAAAAAGCAAACUACACUAUCCAAUUGGCCCUCGCAGCAGCCAAUGCAGCAACUAUACAAGUACUAACACUUGAAUUUUUCUUUUCUUUUUUCUUAUUAUCAAUCAAUUCGAAUAUUUAUGUGUAAUAUACCAUUAUGUUAAUAUUGUCAUAUAUAUUAAGGUACGUUUCAACAAUCAAGAAUCAGCUCCACAGUUUGACACGGGGUUGAUAGGGCAUGACAACGCCUUGGCAAGACAUGGAAUUCGAGGGUUAUACCAUUUUUACAGUAUGAUGGUACAAGGAGCAAAACUUGUUGUGGGACAGAACAAGUUAUUCUUAACACUGGCGGAGAAGCAUGGACCCAACCAGUUUGGACCAUUUACCAACGUCAUGUAUGACUAUAUCCGUUUAGAAGGGCCACCAACAACUCAUGAUGAAUUGUAAUAACCCGCUCUUUUAAUUAUAUUUAAAUCCAGUAAUGUGAUAAAUAUUCUUUCAUCUUUCAGUAAAUAAAACCUAAUAAUUAUUUAUGAUAUGGAUUCAACUUAUGAUACUUUAUUAUAUGUUCUAAGAAGCCGAGUUAUUAUUUCAUUAUGCAUUCAGCUCCGCGUGUGAUAAUCACAAUGCAAAUUAUUGAGCUAAUCAAUAAUUAUUAAUUCCAGAUUUAUAAAUGACUUAGUGAAGUCAUGUUCAUUAUUAAUUGCAAUAGAAAUAUUAUUUCUAUUAUUAUUUAUAUUUAUUUUAUAUUCUUACAUGAGUCGUGAAUUUAUUUCAGCCUGUGAAGCAAAUUAAAUCUGCGGAUUUAAUUUUAAUAUUAGAUAGCACGAGCCCGAAUUAAAUCUACGGAUUCAAUUUAGAUUUAUCUUACAGUCUAUCGACAUUAGCAAGACAAGAAAUUAGAUACCGAAACGCAAGAUUUAUUAAAAUAACCAGUAUUCGACUACAAAUAUGCGAUAUUAUAGUAAUGGAAUUACCAAGACAUAAGGAUUAUAUUUUGAUCCUUUAUUCACCACAAAUUUUCAAACUUUACAACUUCUCAACUUACAAUCAUCAUUCGUUCCUAUUUCCUACUUCAUACCUUCACAUUACACGGUUGCUUGAAAAAGCAAUUACAUGAAUAUAACUAUAAGAGAAAAUCAGAUCACCCUUCUUCCCCUAUCCUCCAUGCCACCAGCUUGAUGAGGGAGUCCUUGUGCUGCCAAGUACAGCAGGGAGGGUCUAUGGCUGCCGCCAUCCCAUCCGCAUUCAUUCCUGCAUUUAUUGAUGAAACAACAUAUGUUAUUCUGUCACAGUUACCCCAUUUAAUUCAACCUCAGCAGCCAACCAACACAAAGCUAUAUAUUUGUAUCUCUGUUACUUCCUCCUGCUACAAGUUUCAUACCAACAGAACCUGUUGAGUAUUUGUGAUACUCAAGUUUGGUAGUUGUCAUUAUGUAGACAAAUGGGUGUGUUUUGCUCUCAACGUUUCUACUGGUGUUGGUACUUUGGCUAGUACAGUCCGUUUCGUGCAUGACUCUUUCUUGAAGUAUAUCUCGUGGGUGUUUAGAUAUAUUUGUUCCUGAGUCCAGAACUUAUACAAAUCCUUAGUAAUUCGAAGAUAAGGAGUUUAUCCUCAAGAGUCCUUGUUCGUGUGCAUCUCUUCUAGGGUUUUCAACCUUCUACAACUACAUAAGGACGAAGAGAUCUUGGAGUGAAGGUGGCUGCAUUUUUGUUACUCUUCUUCAGUUUAUAAAGAGUGUUUUGUUGAGUGCUUAGUUUGUUCUUUCAUGUGUGAACAGACUUGUUGUUUAUCUUGCUCGUUAAUUUCUUUGUUGCAAGAUUGUGGGUGUAUGAUUCGUGUUGUUUCCUCUUUACCAAGCAGUUGAUGAAGGUUUAUUUUCGUGGGUGUUAGUGGUGAAUAGGGUUUAUUCACGCUUAGAGAGUAGAUCGUUGUUAUUAUCUCAAUUAUUCAUCGUUGUGAAGGUUUGGGAAGAUAUUGAAAAGAAGGAUAGAGAGUCUGUCGCAUAAGUCCUGUAUAUAUCUUAUCUUCACUAAUGGAUAAUUUACCCUGGGCAUGGCCCCCCCAAACGUAGGUUGUUUAACCGAACUAGAUGAACAACUCUUGUGUUCAGUGUUGUUACUUUCUAUGAUACAUUUGCUAUUUUGUGUGUGCAAAGUAUAUGCAAUUGGAUAGGUAACUUUGGUCUUUAUCAAAAUGUAGAAGAAUAAGAUGUAUAGCAUAAUUGCCACUGCAUAUCAGGAUGAACAUACUAGAACUCAAAUCAUGACAACUUCCAUCAUAUGCAUAAAGCGAAUACAGAGCAGUUUAGUAUUAUCAACCAGUGCCCGUGCUUAGUAUUAUCGUUGCAUAACACCAUAACUAUCUCUUUCUUUAGCAAAAUCCCACAUGUCAUAAAGAGAACACGAGCGGAGUAAGUAGGAGAGGUGGGCUACUGCCCUGCUCUGAAAUCGGAGCUUCCAGGAGCUCGGACAGAGAGAGACAGACAUACGCUUCAUCGCCUAAGGCACGACAAUGAUGACGACGUCCAAAUACAGCCUCGUCGGAAGUUGAGCAUAGCAGCGGUGGUCCUCGGAGACUCUUAAGCACGGAGCGGUGCCUACUCGCCGGACUUCAGAUUGAGCAACGCGGAGAGCCAACGGCAGACGGAAGAGGCUGGAACUGAUCUUAGCGAGAGAGAGAAAUAUAUGAGGAGGAAGGGAGGCACGGCCUCGUCGGAACCGAGGUCGUGCGUGAGAGAGAGACCGAGCAUUUUGAGAGAGAGUGAGAGAGGACCGAGUGUUGAGAAUGAGGGAUUGGGCCUUCUCCUUAUUUUUGCAGUUGGGCCUUAUUCAUUUUUAUUGUUUUGGGCCUCUACAUUAACUAUUUCUGUUGGGCUCCUUUUUAUUUUAAUUAUCCAAGCCCAACUAUUUAUCCAGUAAAUAGAGCCCCUUUCAUUAUUCUUAUGGCCCCAUCUUAUAGUUUUAUUUUGGGCUGGAGAUUUAUUCAGUGGGCCAGUUCAGUUGGGCCUUUCAUUUUAAUUAUUUAGGCCCCUUUUCAUUUAUUUAAUUACUGGGCUACCAUGACUUAUUUAAUUCAGAUCCACUUUUACUUAUUUCAUAACAUAUAAAAUACGAACUAUCUAAAGUAUAUAGGGGAGGGCUAAAAUAAAAACAUGUCUUAAAAUAUAAAAUAUAAACAAUUUUCAGCCCUUAGAUAAUCAAAAUCUACGGUUGAUUCAUAACCCUGUUGGAUGAAUUCGUGGUCCUGAGCUCGAAUCCUAAAGGUAGCAAAAAUUUAUUUUUCACAAUUUGUAACCUUGUUGGAUGAAUUCAUACGUGUUCUACAUAAAAUUCGUACGUUGAAAAAUGUUUUUAUUUUUAUUUUAAGAAGUGUUUUCACGGUAGCCCUUAUAUAUAUAUGGGAGGGCUAUAAUAAAAACACUUUUAAGUGUAUAAAAUAGGAACAAAUCUUGUCCAUUAGAUCUUGACCGAUCUUGUGGCCUUAAAUUAUUCUAAUUUUAAUGCCUACAAUUUACGGCUGCCACAAUAGAUGAGAACUUUGUAAUUUUUCAAUAUCUAAGUUCAUGUAUUUUAUUGAACUUUCCUAAGUUCAUGUUAAAAAUUGAUUUUUUCCAUAGUUGGUGUAUUUUCACGCAAAUUUCCCUAAAUAUUACUAUUACAUAAAAUAUGGUUCAAGAGAAAAAAAAUACAAAAAGAAAAAAAAAAUGGGACCUUUAUUGGAAAAAUCAGUCAAUCUUAGAUCAUGGGCUUUUAGGUUCAACAACCACCAUCUUUUGGUGACGAAUCCAUAAAUUUACAAUUCAGACACCGACACAUAAAAAAACAUAGGCCUACACCUACCUUAAUAUUUUGUACUCCCACAAGGAUUGUGUAUUUAUUACUAUUUUCGUUCGCUCACAAAAAUUGUGUAUUUUUCUUUUUUAGAAAUGUCUUUUAUACUUUAAACCACAUUCACACUUCAUAUUUACAAAAUACUCAUCCCUUUACUUUUACAAUUUGAUUGGCCAAAUACUACCCUUCAACAUUAAAAUCACAUCUUCCAACUAUUUUAUUAAAAUUCGUGUCCUCCACUUCAUUACACACUCUUUGUGGACGGAGGAAGUAUACAUUUUGAAUAUCCAAAUUGCCGCCGGCCAUGUUCUCCAAGAAAAUAGUCAAACCCCAAAGAAAUCCCCAAAUUUUCUCCCAUUUUCUCUCUCUGGAUUACAACGACAGUCGACCGGCGAGAUUCGUUGGCGCCGACGCUCUUUCGACACCGUCCGACAACAGCGCCACACCAUACCACACGCUCCUCUCUGACUCCCUCUCGCCUGGCUCUCCUGCACCUAAAGCCCCCAAACAAAAAUCUUACUUUCCCAAACACCAUUCAUCGUCUCUCUCUCUUUUAACCGAUCAACAGCAGCCUUGCGGCCACCGUCAUCGGCUGCCUCCACCGCCUUUCCCUUUAGCCAGAUGCAAUAGCACAACAGCUGCCAUCAUCGGCUCUCUCUCUCUUUUGACCGAGCAACAUGUACAAGUACAAAUGCAAGACGCCCCCUUGGCGGCGCUCCCCUCACUUACACUCUCAACACACACCAAAUCCGAGGUGCUCAAACAAGAUUGAAGCUUUACAAAAUUUAAAGUGUUAGACUUAUUCUUUAACUCUAAUUAAUUUUUAAUUCUUUCUUCACUAUGAAAUCUACAUGAUUUUUAAGUUUGAAUGAGUCUCUAGAACUUUCUCCUACAAAAGUGAAAAACAAGAUUGUAAGGGAUAUAGUCGAAUCUCAAGGAAAACUCAACUAAGCUCUUAUUUCAUGGGAACCAACUCCCUAUCCUUAACCGAAGUGCCGAAGUGGAUAGGAUUGCCUAAAAUCGUGCUUGAGACGUGCAUGGAAAGGUCUCAAGCUCUGUAUAAAUAUGAGAGAUAUCAGUUGGAGAAAGGGUGAAAAUUUAAAGAGUUUUUCAUAGCAGAUUGUCGUUCCUUACAGCAUCUUGUGUUUUAGUGAGUUGUUUUCUCAGCUUGUGAGCCUAGCCAAAGACGAUUCUUGUAGUCUUUGGUUUAGGUAUUUGUUUUUAUAAAAGUUCACCAAGUUCACCAAGUAUUCUUAGUGAAUUAUUUCACUAUAUUGGCAUCCACAAGUUAUAAUUACAACUUGUGGAAAAAUUCAUUCUUGUGUCACGUUUUCAUUGAAUUUCCGCUUCUUUAUACUUUGUGUGUUGUGGAGUGUUAUCUACACAUUCUGUUCAACACAGUGUUCCAGACAAGCAACACUUUCAAUUGGUAUCCGAGCAAUCACUUGACAUAUCCUGACAGUUCCCACAGUUGUUGUUUCGUCAUGGAUCCAAGCAAUUUGAUUAAAUACUUUGAAGUGUUAUUUAGUAAACUAUCUAUUUUGGGAUUUUCAUUUAUUUUUCAUUGAGUUUUAACUUACAAUGGUACGAUUUAAGAUUUUUAUUUUAUUUUCAUUUAUUUUUCGUUGUGUUUUAACUUACAAUUGUAUGAUUUAAGAUUUUUGUUUUUAUUUUUAAUUAGAUUUAUCAAUCGAUGAUUUGAUUCGAUGUCAGUUGAUUUAAUUUAUUUUAUUUUUCAUCAUUUUAGUAGCAAAAAAGUACUAGGAUUGAAGGAGAAAAAAAAACAUUGGGCGAGUUUAGCCCAAUUGCCCGAUGGCUUCAGAGGGGCUGGACUAGGCUUGCUAUUUUGCAGUCGGGUCAGAUUCUAGACCGGCCCGGUAUAAUUUGAAAGCUUGGUGGGCCAAGCCGGGCUGACCCGAGCCGACCCAUUGACAACUCUAAUUACACACACAUAUAUUUUUUGCUUUUUUGUUAAACUACUACUGACUACUGAAAAUCCCAUGUAUUAGAGGUGAGCAAAUCCGAACCAAAAUCAUCAAACUGAUUCUUAAUUAGCGACUUGGUUUGAUUUUUUCGUUACAAAUGAUGCAGUUCGAUUUUAAUAUUGUAAAUCGAAUUUGUUUGAUUUGGUUUAUGGUUUAUGAAAAAUGGUUUGAAUUUCAACCCUAACCCGCCUGAUUUAUUUACAUAAUAUAUAUAUAUAUAUAUAUAUAUAUACACACACACACGCAUAUANNNNNNNNNNNNNNNNNNNNNNNNNNNNNNNNNNNNNNNNNNNNNNNNNNNNNNNNNNNNNNNNNNNNNNNNNNNNNNNNNNNNNNNNNNNNNNNNNNNNNNNNNNNNNNNNNNNNNNNNNNNNNNNNNNNNNNNNNNNNNNNNNNNNNNNNNNNNNNNNNNNNNNNNNNNNNNNNNNNNNNNNNNNNNNNNNNNNNNNNNNNNNNNNNNNNNNNNNNNNNNNNNNNNNNNNNNNNNNNNNNNNNNNNNNNNNNNNNNNNNNNNNNNNUUUUGGGGGUUCUGGGGUUCGACCCCCCCAUACGUUCAACAGAAAAUCCGUUGAACAUGACGUGAAUAAAUCAUGUCCGUUAGAUUAGAUAAGAUCAACGGAUGAGAUUACUUCUAUCUUCUUUCUUACAUUUAGACCUUCUUCAUUGAACCUUGGCCUAUAUAUAUAUAUAUAUAUUAUAAAUAUGCAUACCAAUUAUUAAUACCAAUUUUUUUUUAAAAGAAUUUAAAAUUUUAGAGUUUGUUGGUUUAGAAAUAUAAAUUGAUGUUAUAUGUAUUGUAUUGUAUUGUAUUUAAAAAAUAAUAAAAUAAAUAAAUUAAUAAAUAUAUAAAUAAAAAUGAUUUUAGCCAAAUCAAACCAAAUCGAAAAUUUUCGAUUUAAUUUGGUUUAGAUUUGGCUUUGUAAAUGGUGCGAUUCGAUUUGAUUUUUUAGAUCCAAUUCGAGUUCGAAUUUUUUGAAUUCAGUUUGAUUUCAGACGGAAUCAUCCGAAUGUUCACCCCUACCGUAUAUUGAUACAUAAUUUACUGGCAUGUGAUGGAUGUAAAAAAUGCAUAAUAAUAGUCAAAUUUUGGAUAACCAACUCAACAAGACUUUGAAAUAAUUGAUCAUGCUAAAAUCAACGCAUUAAUAGUGAAUAGUGAUUACAACGGCCCCAAAUGAUGUUUGCUCAUUCUAUAAAUAAUUUAUUGAUAGGUGGUUAUUAUUAUUUUUGAUUGGUGAUUCAUACAAGAAUGAAAAGCACAAAUUUACUAAUGUAUAGAAAAAAGAAAAAGAAAACGAAAACUAGAAAUAACGUCAUUAAUGGACACCUAUGUGCACAUUUUUAGAGGUUCGUGGAGAAAGUAGAGAAUGCACAUUGCACACCCUUUUAACAAGAUAAUGGACAAUGCACAUUACUGAAUUUUAAGUUUAAAUAACUCUAUCAACAUUUUAUGAAUGCUGUUGUUACACUUGAUUUCCAAGUAUGGUUUAAUACACAAUUUUUAUUGCCAAAAUGCCACAAACGAGUUCAAAUCCGCUAACUUCUUUCUCUUCAAAUAUGUUGCAUAGGAUUCGAUUAAUGUGAUUUAUUUGUUCGGUGUAUUUUGUAAAUUAUUGUGACAGAACGAAGUUUAUCUAAAGUAAAUUAUAUCUCUGAACAUCAACCAUAUAUGUCUUUCUCUUCAUCUCAUAGAUAAUAUUAAAAAAAUAUCACAAGUGUAACCAUAAUGUUAUUAUUUGUCACUGCAGAAUAAGUGAUAUAUAAUUGGAAAAUAAUAAAUGAUAUCAUAAAUACAACUGUGAUGGAAAUAGACUGGAGUAGGUGAUUUAGCUCGAUUCCAACGAGUCUGGAUUCCAGCAUUUACGAAAAUUAAUGUGUCAACCGUAAUUAAGGAGCUAGUAGGAUUAUUACAACUAAUUGUGCUACCCAUCAUUUUGGUCCAAAUAUAGCUUCAGCAGACUCAGCACACAAAUAUAAUGCAAUUUUUCUGGCAAAUUGUUAGUAAGAAAAAUUAAAAACUUAAUUUCAUUGGCUAGCAGUGACCACCAGCAAUCGCAUUCUCUAAAUUAUACUAUUAUUAUUCUAGCAACACCCUAUUUUAACUAAAAUCAUGUAAUAAAAAAAAUCUUUUUAUAUGAAUAAAAUUGUGGAAAUAAUAACUUUUCGGAUCAAAAUGCCCUUGUAACUGUUACAGAUGCAAUUUUACAAUAUAAAAUACAUUGUUAUUACACGUUUUUCAUGAUACACUGUUAUAUGAUUAUUACAGAAUUUUUUGAAAAUCUCGUAACAAUGUAUUUUACAUGUUACACACAGUUAAAAAAAUUUAUAACGACGUAGCGAUCAAGGCAGCGCGGCGCUGGAUAAUCGAGAGAAGUUGUGGAAAAUCAAGAGAGAAGAAAGAGGGCAUAAGGCGACAACGAAAGAGAACCGAAAUCGAGGCAGUGGCGACGAUUCAAAGAGGGACGAGGGGACAGAGCAAGAGAGGUCAGUCGUAAAGGAGAAGCAUGACUUGGGGAGGAGGUUCUCAGACCCGCGGUGGCGCGGAGCGACAUGGCAACGAAAAGAGAGAAAGAAGCGAGGAGAGGGAGAGAGAAUGGGGCGAGGAGGAAGAGAGAGAAAGAGGAGCUGCAAUAGAGGCGACGUAGAAGGGGUGGGGGCGACACUAGGUAAUUAUUGAUAUAACUAACACCUAACAAUUCAUUUAAACUCCUCUUCAAUAUGCAGUCUCAUUCAUGUAUACCUUUAGUAUACAUGUACAUAAAGGAUAUCUAGACUCGUUUGGAUGAUUUUGGAAAAGAUUGUUGGUGGCGGCGAGGGAGUGACAAUAAAAAUUAUGAUAGAUUCUAAAAUCAAAAGGUUAAUAUUAUCAUUGAUUUUUUUAAAGUGAAUAUUGUCGUUAAAAAAAGCUUUAAAGAAGUUAAUAUUAUCGUUAAAAAAGUUUAAAAAAGAAAAAAAAUCUGUCUCUAAAAAAUAUGCAUAUUUUGAUAUUUUUGGCUUUCUUUCAAAAACAUGUACUUUUCAUCUUUAAACACUACACCACUACAGUCACUUUAUUUAUUUUUUAUCUCUACUUUUCAUACUUAUUCAUAUUCAUAAAAAACCAUAAUGGCCCACAAUUACUUUUGAUUAAAACAAACAUAACACUAUAUAAAAUAGGACCCCUUAUCGACUCACAAUACAGUGAUGUAAUAUUUUUUAAAACUCGUACCAUCCAUACCGCCGCAUGUUUUUCAGAGAGGGAGGGAGUAUUAACGAUCGAUUAUAAAAAAAUUAAAAUAUUUAUAUUAACAGCAGAACCAAUGAUCAGAUUUUUAAAAAAUAAGAAAAAAAAUUACAACCAAAUUAAUGACCAAUGUUAGAAGAAUAAAAAAAUAAUAUUAGCGGACGAUUUUAAAGAAAAAAAAAUUAAUAUCAACGAUUGAAUUUUAAAAUAAUAAAAAAAUAAUAUUAACGAUCGAUUUUAAAAUUAAAAAAUAAUAAUACUCUCUCCAUUAACAAUAUCAUCAUCACUUUUGUCGUUUUGGUUCGUCCACAAUAUCCUUGUCACUUCCCUUUAUAGCAAUAUGGUCCACAUAACACUUUAUUUUCUUAACUUUAUAGUGGGACUGGGAUCCAAACUCCACUCACAACAAUAUUCACUAUUAUCAACUACUAUCCACCACUUUCUUAAAAGAGUCAACUUGUGAGAUAGUCAUAUUGAGCAAUUAAACUCAAUAUUUGGCCACACAUCUAAAAAAUACAAAUUUUAGCCAAUUUUUAUGUUUUAGGACUAUUUUGCCCUUAAUUAGAUGGAUCGGGUCAGGGUUACGCGUGCGAAUUGGACUUCGAACGGGUUGGGCUCGCGGGUUAUAAUGGUACAGUUGGCACAAUUAGUGCCAAUUGUGCUAAGAGAAAGGGCGCGUCCGCGGAGGGAGGCGCGGCCGCUGACUUGCCCGCAACUGAUGGGCAAUGCGGUGUGAGCAAGAGCGGGCGAGAGAGAGAAGACGCGGCCGCUAGCAAUUGGUACAAUUUGACACAAUUAGUGCCAAUUGUGCCAAGAGAAAGGGUGCGGCCACUGGUAGUUGAUACAAAUGUAGAAGUUAGUGCCAAUUGUGUCAUUCAUUAGGUACACUUGGCAGAAUUAGUGCCAAUUGUACCAGCGGUCGCUCAACGGGGCAGUCAGCAGUGAGCGAGUGAGAGAAGGGGCGUGGGCAAGGGUAUUUUGGACCGAAAUUGUAAAAAGUUGUCAUACUUUAUGUUUUUCAGAUGAGUGGCCAAAAAUUGAGUUUCAUUGAUCAAUAUGACUGUAUGAGUACAUAUCAUCUUCUUAAAAUUUGUGUUGUCCAUAAAGUGGUAAUGAUAAUGUGGACAAAGAGAGUAUUAAUAAUAGAAAAUAAUAAAAAAUAACAAUAAUAUUAAUGAUAAAAAAUUCAAUCGUUAAUAUAUAUAUAUAUAUAUAUAUAUAUAUAUAUAUAUAUAUAUAGUAGUAGUAGACAGAGAGAGAAGAGUUCAACAGAGAAGCUAAAUAUUGUGGAGAAUAGAGAAUUCGUAAAAUAAAAACGAACAGAUCUAUAAUUUUAAUGAACAUNNNNNNNNNNNNNNNNNNNNNNNNNNNNNNNNNNCAUGUGAGUGUAUUGGUUAGCAAUAAGUGGUUAAUUUCAAAGGCUUGAGAUUUUGGAUUGGAGUCUGCAGUCGUGUAAUCUUUCAAAAAAAUUUAUUUACUUAUAAUAAUUUAUCAAAAAUAAAUAAAUAACAAUGUCCCUUCAUUAAACGAGAAAAUCAUGAGACGAAACAGGCGACUGAAAAUUGAGGCUGGCUACAUGAUGACCAACCCGAAUAGGCGUCCUCAAUUUUUUUUGGUUAUCGAAAACUCGGGUCGACUACCUCAUUGAGCUAGUGUCACAACGUUCCACUGCCUUGAUAUGUGCGAUUUUGAUUAGUAUUAUGCUUUAAAUAUCAACUCUUGAUGCGCAUAAAAUAAAAUAAAAUAAAAUAUUGGGGAGUUGAUUUAAGUUGCAAUAAGUUAAAAGUGGUGACAUUAAAAUUGCCAAAUGAGAUUAGCCCGUAAAUAUAAGAAGACACUGUUUAAAAUAAAAUAAUACUCAUGUAAUAUUAGCUGUAUAACUCGGGCAAGCAAAGUAGUAAAAAAUUAUUACGAGGAAGGAAAUUGAGAAAGAAAAAGACGACCCCACCGGUAUUUCAUUGGAAAAGUAGAGAUGAAAGAAAAUUAAUUACCGGCCGGAUCCAAACAAGCAAAAAGUCUAUUGUUGGGUGGUAGAACAUUUGAAUAAGAAAAAUCCAAGAAAAGAAAAGAAUUGCCUAUAAAGAAACGCCGAAAGUCUUUAUAAGAAUUUUUGUUUUACAAAUGUUAGUAUUAAAUUGUCCAUCAAUAAUGCUCUCUAUCGCACUCUAUAUAUAUGUUGCAGUAACUGUUGCCUCACACAUUCUCAUAUUCCCUCACACAAGUCUCCACCUUCUCCUCUGCAACAAAAUUCUCCAUAACUUAAUUGGUAUAUAUUUCCUUCCAAGAACUGAGAGAGAGAGAGAGAAUGGUGAGGCAGAAAAAAUGUGGUUGGAAUUUGAGGUGGUUGGCCAUUCUUCUUCAAACCUUCUUGCUUGCACAAUGUGCUGCAUCAAGAUGGCAGUUAAGUCUCCAAUUAAUCAUCUUUUUUCUUUCAUGUAUGUGGCGUAAGUUUUUUUUUUUUCAUUUACCAAAUUAUUUUUUGCAUGAAUAUUACAUGCAUGUAUUAGGUAAAGUUGGUCUGUUUAAGUUUUAUUUUUUCUAAUGUUUAAUUUGUGAAAUGAAAAUCUCGUCUCUGUUCCUUGGAUGCUUU